GCGCCGGCGGGCGGGAGCACCGGACAGGCCCUCUGGCGCAUGCGUCACCCCGCGCGCAGCCUCAGUCUGGUCGCGCAGAGACUGGAGCGCGGUUGGGGCGUGGCCCGAGCGAAGAGCUGGCUGAGCCGGCGGAAAGGCGGGGUACAAACCUCGGAUCCUCGCCCGCUAGAGUAGUCGCUGUGGGUCUUUGGGGCAUGGCCAUAGCUCGGGCACCGGCGCCUGCGAAUCCUAAGAAAGGCCGCAGUAGUGUUGUCGACCCCUGUUUCGAGGCCGCCGCGCGCUCGGUGAGGACUACAGGGAGUUCUCGCCCUUCCGCUCUAAUAGAUAGAAAACAGAGACCCAGAGAGGCCAGCGAGUGCCUCAAGACCACACAGCCCGCGGGAGGCGGCUCAAGGGGGCACAUCCACCUCUCCCUCCUCCUUAAGAAACUAUUCUGCCCGAAUCUGGCAUUGCAUCCUUUCCAGCACUGGCCAUCGCUGUCAAGUUCAGGUUUACCUCACAAAACCCAUCUUGUGAGGUAAAGAGGAGUCCCACGUGGAAGAUGGCACUUCUGAAUGGAGACCUCCCGCCAGGGCUGCAGAGCAGAGGAGGAUCAAGGCCAAGAAAGAGGAAACCCUAGAUUUGCACGGCUGGUAGCACUAUGGGAUCCUUGCGCUCCGCAGGCCACCCUGCAGACUGAGACAGCCUGAGGUUUGAGCCAAGUUUCAGGAGAGCCCCACCUUUGUGAUUCUCUACAUGUUUCCUAGAUCCACAGAAAAUGAACGUAUCUCAGUUGAAGUAAAGUGCACACAAAUCCUCGGGGAACAACUUGAUGAAUUUUUCAUAUGCUCUGCAGCUGGAUAACUAGCACCCAGAUCAAGAUAAGGGGCAUUUUCUGUACCACAGAAGGCUUCCUUGUUUUGUUUCAAAGACUAUACUUGCCCACUCACUCAAGGUGUGUGUUCCAGUUUUGUUUGUUAAAAAAAAUGGAUGAAUUCUUUGUAUGUGCUAGAUAAUGAGUCCUUUUUCAGACACAUGUACUGCAGAUGUCUUUUUUGAAUUUGAGGCUUGUUCUGAAUUUUAAUUAAGUCCAGCUUAUCAGUCUCUUCUUUAAUGGUGAGUGCUCUUUGUGUCCUAUUUAAAAAAAGUCUUGGGCGGGGAGGGUAUAUAUAGCUCAAGUGGGUAGAGCACAUGCUUAGCAUGCAUGAGGUUCUGGGUUCAAUCCCCAGUAUCUCCUCUAAGAAUAAAUAAAUAAACUUAAUUACCUCCCCCCACCAAAAAAAAAAGGAAAACUCUUGCCCAUCCCAGAGUCACAAAGGAAUUUUCUUGUUAUAUUCUGAAAGCUCAAAUUGUUUUAGCUUUCACAUUUAAGUCUAUGAUCCAUUUUAAACUAUUCUACACAUACACAUAAACAUGAAUAUAUCUGUUUUUGGGCUGUGGCUAUCCAGUUCCUGCAGUAGUUUUUAUCAAAAAGACCUUCCUUUCCCUGCAGAAUUGCAGUGGUAUCUGUUGGAAAUCAGGCAACCGAAUGUGUGUGUCUCUUUUUGGGUUCUUAUUUCUAUUCUCAUUGCUUAUUUGUCUCGCCUCAGGCCAGCACCGCCCUGCCCUUACCACUGUAGCUUUGUAAAAAGUACUCAUAUCUGUGGAUAUAUGUUUUCCACUUUUGUUCUUCAAGAUUUACCUCGGCUGCUUUAAGUCCUGUGUAUUUCUGUAUGAACUUUAUAAUCAUCUUGUCAACAUGCCCCACCUCUACCUGGGAAUCUACUGGAAUUUGGUAUUGCACUGAAUCUAUAGAUCGAUUUGGGAGUUGGUUAUAUUAAUAUUGUCUUGAAUUUUCAACUCAUGAACAUGGCCUUUCUCUUCAUUUACUUAGGUCUCCUUUAAUUUUUUUCAUCAAUGUUUGAUAAUUUUGAUGUGUACAUCUUGUGCUUCUGUUAGACUUAUUCUUAGGUGGUUGAAAAAUUUUCUCCUUAUUUGGGCAUUGCUAGCAUAAAGAAAUAGUGUCAAUUUUUGUAUAUUGAACUUUUUUUAGUGACCUUUCCAUUUAUUAAGUCUAGCAUUUUAUCUGUAAAUUAUUUUGGAUUUUCUAGCCAUACAAUUAUGUUAUAUAGCCAUUUCUUACUUUUUAACCCAUUUAAGAACCUUUCUUUUUGUUUAUUGCUGUGGCUAGGAGCUCACAUGUAUCAUGAAAUAGAAUAGUAUAUACUUGUUUCAUCCCAGCCUUCAAGGGAAACCUUUCAAUAUUUUAUCAUUUAGGAUGGUAUUUAUUGUAACUUUUUUGGUAGAUAGUCUUUGGGAAGAUUCAUUCUAUUUUUGGUUUGCUGAAAGUUUUUAUUAUUCAAUGGGUGUUGAAUUUGUUGAGAUGAUUGUAUGGUUUUCUUCUUUAUUCUUUUAAUGGAUUGAUAUUAGCAUAUUAAUUGAGGUAAUUCUGUUAAUGUUUUGAUUUUCAAAUGUGAAACCACCCUAUUUUCCAGGAGAAAAAAUCCCACCUGUUGUUGAUCUUUAAAUAUAUUUCAUGAUAAGUCACUUAGGAUUUUUGUCUUUAUUCAUGAAGGGGACUUUUAUUUUCCUUUUUUAUAAUGUUUUUGUCAGGUUUUAUAUCAAUUUUAUACCGCCUUAAAGAAACAUGUUAAGUGUUUCCUAAUUGUCUAUUUCCUGGAAGCAUUUGUUGAAGAUUAGUUGUUUGUAAAAAUUCACCAGUGAAUGCAUCUAGGGUCUGGAUUUUCUUUAUGGAAAGUUUUACAAUUAUAGGGUUUUUUUAUAUUAGGGAAAUUAUUCUCUAGAACAUGACAUAAGUUGCAGUUGUUUGUUCCCCACUUGUCAUUGGUCAUCCCCAGGUGGGAGUGGGUGCCUUUUGUCCCAAGGCAAAGCACAGCUCUCACACCUAUUCAGAUAACCCACCAGGGCUUUCUCAGU